rnacentral:rRNA from 1 species
UACGUAGGGUGCGAGCGUUGUCCGGAAUUAUUGGGCGUAAAGAGCUCGUAGGCGGUCUGUCGCGUCUGCUGUGAAAACCCGAGGCUCAACCUCGGGCCUGCAGUGGGUACGGGCAGACUAGAGUGCGGUAGGGGAGAUUGGAAUUCCUGGUGUAGCGGUGGAAUGCGCAGAUAUCAGGAGGAACACCGGUGGCGAAGGCGGGUCUCUGGGCCGAAAUUGACGCUGAGGAGCGAAAGCGUGGGGAGCAAACAGG